CGGAUUAGAGUCAGAUUGGUUACGACACUCCCUUUGGGAGGGAGAUUUUCUGUGUUCGAGUCACAGUAAUCCGA